rnacentral:tRNA from 1 species
GGGGUGUGGCUCAGUGGUAGAGCACUUGCCUAGCAUACAUGAGGCACUGGUUUGGGUUUUUGUCAGGGUUCAAUCCCUGAUACCACA